AAGGAAUAUUGGACAAUGGUCGCAAGACUGAUCCAGCCAUGCCGCGUGCAGGAAGACGGCCCUAUGGGUUGUAAACUGCUUUUGUACCAGAGAAAACCUAUCUACGUGUAGAUAGCUGAUAGUAUGGUAAGAAUAAGCAUCGGCUAACUUCGUGCCAGCAGCCGCGGUAAGACGAAGGAUGCAAGCGUUAUCCGGAUUCAUUGGGUUUAAAGGGUGCGUAGGCGGGCUUGUAAGUCAGUGGUGAAAUCUCUCAGCUUAACUGAGAAACUGCCAUUGAUACUGCAGACCUAGAGUAUAGAUGACGUUGGCGGAAUAUGACAUGUAGUGGUGAAAUACUUAGAUAUGUCAUAGAACACCGAUUGCGAAGGCAGCUAACGAAACUAUAACUGACGCUGAGGCACGAAAGUGCGGGGAUCAAACA
rnacentral:rRNA from 1 species